rnacentral:rRNA from 1 species
CCUACGGGUGACAGCAGUGAGGAAUAUUGGUCAAUGGACGAGAGUCUGAACCAGCCAAGUAGCGUGAAGGAUGACUGCCCUAUGGGUUGUAAACUUCUUUUAUAUGGGAAUAAAAUGUUCCACGUGUGGGAUUUUGUAUGUAACAUAUGAAUAAGGAUCGGCUAAAUCCGUGCCAGCAGCCGCGGUAAUACGGAGGAUCCGAGCGUUAUCCGGAUUUAUUGGGUUUAAAGGGAGCGUAGGUGGAUUGUUAAGUCAGUUGUGAAAGUCUGCGGCUCAACCGUAAAAUUGCAGUUGAAACUGGCAGUCUUGAGUACAGUAGAGGUAGGCGGAAUUUGUGGUGUAGCGGUGAAAUGCUUAGAUAUCACGAAGAACUCCGAUUGCGAAGGCAGUUCACUGGACUGCUACUGACGCUGAGGCUCGAAAGUGUGGGUAUCAAACAGGAUUAGAUACCCCUGUAGUC